UACGGAGGAUGCAAGCGUUAUCCGGAAUCAUUGGGCGUAAAGAGUCCGUAGGUGGUGAUUCAAGUCUGCUGUUAAAUCAGGUUGCUUAACGACCUAAAGGCAGUGGAAACUGUAUAACUAGAGUCUAGGAGGGGUAGAGGGAAUUCCCAGUGUAGCGGUGAAAUGCGUAGAUAUUGGGAAGAACACCGGUGGCGAAAGCGCUCUACUGGACUAGAACUGACACUGAGGGACGAAAGCUAGGGGAGCAAAAGGG
rnacentral:rRNA from 1 species